GAUGAACGCUGGCGGCGUGCCUAACACAUGCAAGUCGAGCGGACGGACGCGAAGCUUGUGUCUCUGCUGUUAGCGGCGGGCGGGUGAGUCACGCGUGGAUAACCUCCUUAUAUUUCGGGGAUAAUUACGGGACACCGGAUCUAAUACCAGAUCAUAUUUUGAACCGCGGGGUGCAUAAGAGAAAGUCGGCCUUGGUGUCACUAAUAGCUGGUUCCGAGCUGCAUUAGCUGGUUGGUAAGGUAACGGCUUACCAAGGCUACGAUGCAUAGCCGAGCUGAGAGGCUGAUCGGCCACACUGGAACUGAGACACGGUCCAGACUCCUACGGGAGGCAGCAGUAGGGAAUCUUCGGCAAUGGGCGAAAGCCUGACGCAGCAAUGCCGCGUGAGUGAUGAAGGUCUUCGGAUCGUAAAGCUCUGUUAUUAGGGAAGAACAGAUGUGUAAGUAAACGUGGACAUCGUGACGGUACCUAAUCAAAAAGCACCGGCUAACUACGUG
rnacentral:rRNA from 1 species